rnacentral:rRNA from 1 species
UACGAAGGGUGCAAACGUUGCUCGGAAUUAUUGGGCGUAAAGCGCACGUAGGCGGCUUAGCAAGCCGGAAGUGAAAUCCCUCGGCUCAACCAAGGAAGUGCUUUCGAAACUGCUGAGCUUGAGUACUUAAGAGGAUCGCGGAAUUCCCGGUGUAGAGGUGAAAUUCGUAGAUAUCAGGAGGAACACCUGUGGUGUAGACAGCUUACUGGACCAUUUCUGACGCUGAGACACGAAAGCGUGGGGAGCAAACAGG